rnacentral:lncRNA from 1 species
AUGGCCCUAGGCCUGGCAGAAGCAGGGGGAAGAGUAAGCUCACCAGCCCCUGCCUCACCUGCAGCCCCAUCUUUCUCUGAUCAGCAGCUGGGAUCUCCCAGCUGGAGCCUAUCAGCAUCAGAGGGGAGCUUGAGGGCCUCUGGGAGGAUGGAUUUCCUGGUGGUGGCACCUCUUGUCCUGCUGGGCUUCAGUGGGCAGGGGCUGUGGCUGCAACUGACCCUUGGUCUGUGUUUAGAAGUGGAGGAGGCCCUGCGUGCCUUCCUGUGUCCCUCGUUCUUCCGCUGGCUGUUGCUUCUGCUUGCAAAGUACUGCUACUGGUGGUUGGGUACUCAAAGAAGCAAUGCGUUAAGGAUUUGCAUAUGGAAAGGAAGAGGACUGACCUUUAAAUUCAUUAAAUAAGCAAGUAAUCUAAGGCAUAAUUAAUUAGCAACGCUUCUACCACCGUGCUUGUCGCGCCCGACGCUCGAAGCACCGCUGCCCAGAGGUCCUGGGGCUCUGGCGGCGCCCCGCAGCCGCUCAGCUCUCCGCGUGAAGUGCACCAGGAACUCGGGAAAACUUGGUGCGGGCUGGGAGCAGCUCAGCCGGCUCUUGGUACUACUUUGUUAUGCGGCUGGGGCCGUACAUUCGGUAUUGGCUCAGGUCCGGUGCUGCCUCGGGCCCUCGCAGUGGGGAGAGGGGAAACCGGGCAGGUUCUUCUUCUCAGGGCUCAGCUGAUGGCAUCUGCUGAACACAGCCCUUAAAAUCUGAAGUUGGGGAAGUUAAAUAAACUGUGAGCAUCCUUUGGUCUGUGGCUCUCU